rnacentral:rRNA from 1 species
UACGAAGGGGGCUAGCGUUGUUCGGAAUUACUGGGCGUAAAGCGUGCGCAGGCGGCUUCUCAAGUCAGGGGUGAAGCCCAGAGCUUAACUCUGGAAUUGCCUUUGAGACUGAGAGGCUUGAGUACGGGAGAGGUGAGUGGAAUUCCCAGUGUAGAGGUGAAAUUCGUAGAUAUUGGGAAGAACACCGGUGGCGAAGGCGGCUCACUGGCCCGUAACUGACGCUCAUGCACGACAGCGUGGGGAUCAAACAGG